AUGAUGCAUCCUAUAGUCCUCCUGAGUUGGCUGUUUCUCCUGUCCCCAGGUCAGUGUGGAGCAGCAGCCCCCGUAGUGCUUCAGCCCAGACAGCUCCUCACCCUUCCUGGUAACACCACCACCUUCGGUCCAGUCACUCUGCAGUGCUCCCUGGGUCCAGGCUUCAGCAUGUCCAGCUACACCAUGAUGUGGUACCGACAGGUCAGAGAAUUGGUGAUUGAAGACACUGGGCUAUAUUAUUGUGCUGCGGGACGAAACUAUGAUCCUGCAUUCUUUGGAGCAGGGACCAAACUGAGUGUUCUGGAUCCAAACAUCAAAGUCACUGAACCCACAGUGGAAGUCCUAGCACCCUCGGCAAAGGAGUGUAAAGAUAGAAACAAGAAGAAGAAGAAGACCCUGGUGUGUGUAGCCACCCGCUUCUACCCCGACCAUGUCACGGUCUUCUGGCAAGUCAACAAUGUCAACAGAACUGAAGGCGCCGGGACCGACAACAAGGCCUUGUGGGAUAAAGAUAGUUUAUACAGUAUCACCAGCAGACUGAGAGUCCCAGCCAAAGACUGGCACAACCCAGACAACAAAUUCACCUGCAUUGUCAGCUUUUACAAUGGGAAUGGAGAUAUAAAUGUGAAUGACACCAUUAGUGGAGAUCUCCAAGGUCAAAGUGGGGGAGAGAUAACGACAGAUUACUAUGUGAAGAGCACCCAGACUGCCAAGCUGGCCUACAGCAUCUUCAUCGCUAAGAGUACCUUCUACGGCCUGGUCGUCAUGGUUAUGAUUUGGAAGUUCCAGGGCUCCUCAGAGAAACAGAUUUAACGGAAUACAAGUUGCCCAAGGAGGAUGUCCUGCACGGGUGUUGAUUCUUCCAUGUGAUCAAGGACGGACCGACAAAAGGGCAAUUCUGGCAAAUGCCAGAUGGACUGAUUCAUCUUUAGCCCAGUGGGCCUGUCUAAAUUGGCUUUUUUUUUAGCAAAAUAAUAAUAAUUUUCCUAGUAAAGAGGGCUUUAAGGAAAAACAUGGGCAGUCCUCCCCGCACAGCCAGAAGAGGACUGGCCACCCCUCAUAGCCUGGUUCCUCUCUAGGUUUCUUCCUAGGUUUUGGCCUUUCUAGGGAGUUUUUCCUAGCCACCGUGCUUCUACACCUGCAUUGCUUGCUGUUUGGGGUUUUAGGCUGGGUUUCUGUACAGCACUUUGAGAUAUCAGCUGAUGUAAGAAGGGCAAUAUAAAUACAUUUGAUUUGAUUUGUGUGUUAGAAAUGCCUGGGCCGGUUUCUGAUCCCAGUUUGCCCCUGCAUGUAAUUGUAUUGUCCAUUGUGCUUAUUGUGUCCAUUAUCUCUUUAUUACCCUGUCUAUGUGAAGAUGUGCGUUUUAAGAAUCUCCUAUGAACAUGAACUUGCAAUUUAAAUGUAUAUUUGAAUAAAUUCAGCCAAAACAAUCUUUCCAUUAA